rnacentral:rRNA from 1 species
GACGAACGCUGGCGGUGUGCUUAACACAUGCAAGUCGAACGGUAAGGCCCUUUCGGGGGUACACGAGUGGCGAACGGGUGCGUAACACGUGAGUAACCUGCCCUCAUCUCUGGGAUAACAGUCGGAAACGGUUGCUAAUACUGGAUAUGAGCUUGCAAGGCAUCUUGUGGGUUGGAAAGAUUUUUUUUGGUUGGGGAUGGACUCGCGGCCUAUCAGCUUGUUGGUGAGGUAGUGGCUCACCAAGGCUUCGACGGGUAGCCGGCCUGAGAGGGCGACCGGCCACAUUGGGACUGAGAUACGGCCCAAACGCCUACGGGAGGCAGCAGUGGGGAAUAUUGCACAAUGGACGGAAGUCUGAUGCAGCAACGCCGCGUGCGGGAUGACGGCCUUCGGGUUGUAAACCGCUUUCAAUUGUGACGAAGCUUUUUUGUGACGGUAGCAGUAGAAGAAGCACCGGCUAACUACGU